AAAUCAGAUAGCCCAAAGAACGAAGCUCAAUCAAACAAUUCAAGAUGAAGGCCCAAAUAGGGAGGCCCAAGAACGCAGUAACGCCAUCGCCCAAGUUUGCAAGUCGCCCAGAAUCUGAGCGAAUGGAGUGUCAUGCAGUCGUCCAGAGCUGUUACUCUAUUCUCGCCCAAACCUUCAAGUCGCCCAAGGUCUUAGCAAA
rnacentral:lncRNA from 1 species